rnacentral:misc_RNA from 1 species
GAAAUGCGAUAAGUAGUGUGAAUUGCAGAAUUCAGUGAAUCAUCGAAUCUUUGAACGCACAUUGCGCCCCUUGGUAUUCCAUGGGGCAUGCCUGUUCGAGCGUCAUUUGUACCCUCAAGCUCUGCUUGGUGUUGGGUGUUUGUCCCCGUCUCCGCGCGUGGACUCGCCCCAAAGUGAUUGGCAGCCGGCGUACUGGUCCCGGAGCGCAGCACAUGUCGCGCAAAAGAGUGCCUUGGUACGGCGGCGUCCAUAAGCCCCUCUCUCACGCUCUUGACCUCGGAUCAGGUAGGGAUACCCGCUGAACUUAAGC